AUAGAGGCCUACCAUGGUGGUAACGGGUAACGGGGUGUUAGGGCACGACACCGGAGAGGGAGCCUGAGAAACGGCUACCACAUCCAAGGAUGGCAGCAGGCGCGCAAAUUACCCAAUCCCGACACGGGGAGGUAGUGACAAUAAAUAACAAUACGGGGUUCUUUCGGAUCUCGUAAUUGGAAUGAGUACAAUUUAAAUCUCUUAACGAGGAACAAUUGGAGGGCAAGUCUGGUGCCAGCAGCCGCGGUAAUUCCAGCUCCAAUAGCGUAUAUUAAAGUUGUUGCAGUUAAAAAGCUCGUAGUUGAAUUUCGGGGUUAGUAGGUUGGUCAUGCCUCUGGUAUGUACUGGUCUCACUGAUUCCUCCUUCCUGAUGAACCGUAAUGCCAUUAAUUUGGUGUUGCGGGGAAUUUGGACUGUUACUUUGAAAAAAUUAGAGUGUUUAAAGCAAGCUAACGCUUGAAUACAUUAGCAUGGAAUAAUGAAAUAGGACGUUCGAUCCUAUUUUGUUGGUUUCUAGGAUUGACGUAAUGAUUAAUAGGGAUAGUUGGGGGCAUUAGUAUUCAAUUGUCAGAGGUGUAAUUCUUGGAUUUAUUGAAGACUAACUACUGCGAAAGCAUUUGCCAAGGAUGUUUUCAUUAAUCAAGAACGAAAGUUAGGGGAUCGAAGACGAUCAGAUACCGUCGUAGUCUUAACCAUAAACUAUGCCGACUAGGGAUCGGAUGAUG
rnacentral:rRNA from 1 species